rnacentral:rRNA from 1 species
UUAAGCGACUAAGCGUACACGGUGGAUGCCCUGGCAGUCAGAGGCGAUGAAGGACGUGCUAAUCUGCGAUAAGCGUCGGUAAGGUGAUAUGAACCGUUAUAACCGGCGAUUUCCGAAUGGGGAAACCCAGUGUGAUUCGUCACACUAUCAUUAACUGAAUCCAUAGGUUAAUGAGGCGAACCGGGGGAACUGAAACAUCUAAGUACCCCGAGGAAAAGAAAUCAACCGAGAUUCCCCCAGUAGCGGCGAGCGAACGGGGAGCAGCCCAGAGCCUGAAUCAGUGUGUGUGUUAGUGGAAGCGUCUGGAAAGGCGUGCGAUACAGGGUGACAGCCCCGUACACAAAAAUGCACAUGCUGUGAGCUCGAUGAGUAGGGCGGGACACGUGGUAUCCUGUCUGAAUAUGGGGGGACCAUCCUCCAAGGCUAAAUACUCCUGACUGACCGAUAGUGAACCAGUACCGUGAGGGAAAGGCGAAAAGAACCCCGGCGAGGGGAGUGAAAAAGAACCUGAAACCGUGUACGUACAAGCAGUGGGAGCACAGAGCAAUCUGUGUGACUGCGUACCUUUUGUAUAAUGGGUCAGCGACUUAUAUUCUGUAGCAAGGUUAACCGAAUAGGGGAGCCGAAGGGAAACCGAGUCUUAACUGGGCGUUAAGUUGCAGGGUAUAGACCCGAAACCCGGUGAUCUAGCCAUGGGCAGGUUGAAGGUUGGGUAACACUAACUGGAGGACCGAACCGACUAAUGUUGAAAAAUUAGCGGAUGACUUGUGGCUGGGGGUGAAAGGCCAAUCAAACCGGGAGAUAGCUGGUUCUCCCCGAAAGCUAUUUAGGUAGCGCCUCGUGAAUUCAUCUCCGGGGUAGAGCACUGUUUCGGCAAGGGGGUCAUCCCGACUUACCAACCCGAUGCAAACUGCGAAUACCGGAGAAUGUUAUCACGGGAGACACACGGCGGGUGCUAACGUCCGUCGUGAAGAGGGAAACAACCCAGACCGCCAGCUAAGGUCCCAAAGUCAUGGUUAAGUGGGAAACGAUGUGGGAAGGCCCAGACAGCCAGGAUGUUGGCUUAGAAGCAGCCAUCAUUUAAAGAAAGCGUAAUAGCUCACUGGUCGAGUCGGCCUGCGCGGAAGAUGUAACGGGGCUAAACCAUGCACCGAAGCUGCGGCAGCGACGCUUAUGCGUUGUUGGGUAGGGGAGCGUUCUGUAAGCCUGCGAAGGUGUGCUGUGAGGCAUGCUGGAGGUAUCAGAAGUGCGAAUGCUGACAUAAGUAACGAUAAAGCGGGUGAAAAGCCCGCUCGCCGGAAGACCAAGGGUUCCUGUCCAACGUUAAUCGGGGCAGGGUGAGUCGACCCCUAAGGCGAGGCCGAAAGGCGUAGUCGAUGGGAAACAGGUUAAUAUUCCUGUACUUGGUGUUACUGCGAAGGGGGACGGAGAAGGCUAUGUUGGCCGGGCGACGGUUGUCCCGGUUUAAGCGUGUAGGCUGGUUUUCCAGGCAAAUCCGGAAAAUCAAGGCUGAGGCGUGAUGACGAGGCACUACGGUGCUGAAGCAACAAAUGCCCUGCUUCCAGGAAAAGCCUCUAAGCAUCAGGUAACAUCAAAUCGUACCCCAAACCGACACAGGUGGUCAGGUAGAGAAUACCAAGGCGCUUGAGAGAACUCGGGUGAAGGAACUAGGCAAAAUGGUGCCGUAACUUCGGGAGAAGGCACGCUGAUAUGUAGGUGAAGUCCCUCGCGGAUGGAGCUGAAAUCAGUCGAAGAUACCAGCUGGCUGCAACUGUUUAUUAAAAACACAGCACUGUGCAAACACGAAAGUGGACGUAUACGGUGUGACGCCUGCCCGGUGCCGGAAGGUUAAUUGAUGGGGUCAGCGCAAGCGAAGCUCUUGAUCGAAGCCCCGGUAAACGGCGGCCGUAACUAUAACGGUCCUAAGGUAGCGAAAUUCCUUGUCGGGUAAGUUCCGACCUGCACGAAUGGCGUAAUGAUGGCCAGGCUGUCUCCACCCGAGACUCAGUGAAAUUGAACUCGCUGUGAAGAUGCAGUGUACCCGCGGCAAGACGGAAAGACCCCGUGAACCUUUACUAUAGCUUGACACUGAACAUUGAGCCUUGAUGUGUAGGAUAGGUGGGAGGCUUUGAAGUGUGGACGCCAGUCUGCAUGGAGCCGACCUUGAAAUACCACCCUUUAAUGUUUGAUGUUCUAACGUUGACCCGUAAUCCGGGUUGCGGACAGUGUCUGGUGGGUAGUUUGACUGGGGCGGUCUCCUCCUAAAGAGUAACGGAGGAGCACGAAGGUUGGCUAAUCCUGGUCGGACAUCAGGAGGUUAGUGCAAUGGCAUAAGCCAGCUUGACUGCGAGCGUGACGGCGCGAGCAGGUGCGAAAGCAGGUCAUAGUGAUCCGGUGGUUCUGAAUGGAAGGGCCAUCGCUCAACGGAUAAAAGGUACUCCGGGGAUAACAGGCUGAUACCGCCCAAGAGUUCAUAUCGACGGCGGUGUUUGGCACCUCGAUGUCGGCUCAUCACAUCCUGGGGCUGAAGUAGGUCCCAAGGGUAUGGCUGUUCGCCAUUUAAAGUGGUACGCGAGCUGGGUUUAGAACGUCGUGAGACAGUUCGGUCCCUAUCUGCCGUGGGCGCUGGAGAAUUGAGGGGGGCUGCUCCUAGUACGAGAGGACCGGAGUGGACGCAUCACUGGUGUUCGGGUUGUCAUGCCAAUGGCACUGCCCGGUAGCUAAAUGCGGAAGAGAUAAGUGCUGAAAGCAUCUAAGCACGAAACUUGCCCCGAGAUGAGUUCUCCCUGACUCCUUGAGAGUCCUGAAGGAACGUUGAAGACGACGACGUUGAUAGGCCGGGUGUGUAAGCGCAGCGAUGCGUUGAGCUAACCGGUACUAAUGAACCGUGAGGCUUAACCU